GAUAUUAUCCUUUUUAGGUUAUUGACAAAGUCGUAAAUGAAGACACAAAAGAGCAGCUCGGGAAUGAAAUGGACAGAAUUGGAAUUCCUUUCAAGUUUUAUGUCAGAGGUGAAAACUGUGAAGAUGGAGAAACAAAGUUUACGAAGAACCCCCUAACAAAAGACAAAGAGUCGAAUUUACAGUUGCAAGCAGUUCAAAUGAAAGUGACGACCUCCCACCUCUUCCACAUGGAACUAYUGGUUUCAUGAGAAAAAGGGAAGUUGCUGGGAAUUCAGAGAGUGACUCUGAUAGCGAUAAAUCAAGUUAUACCAAGAGAGAUGGAUGUGAAACCCCCUCCACUGCAAUUAUUUCUGAUUCAGAAGAUGGUAGGUACAUAUCACUGCAGAUUUCCAUAUUCUGUGAACUCAGAUUUUCUAACAGCUUGCUAUGAAAUAGUACUGUUUUUCGCUGCCAUCAAUCAAAACUAAUUAGUCAGUACCUUUURUUUUUGA